CCUGCAGUGCCAUGAAAACUGAUUGUUUUCCGGCACUGGAGUUUCCCUUUAAUGUGUGUAAAUGUCCGUCAGUUAUUCACUAUCUGGACGAUUUACUCACGAUUGAGAACAACACACUCCCCCCAAGUAGUUUGAAACACAUGUUGGCUCUGUUUGAAUCCCUCACCAUCCCAGUCUCCCCUCACAAGACUCUGGAUCCAGACACCAGCAUGCAAUUUUUGGGGAUCCAACUAGACACGAUACAGAUGCAGGCUAGCCUCCCUCAGGAAAAGAUUGAGCG